UACAGAGGGUGCAAACGUUGUUCGGAAUCACUGGGCAUAAAGCGCGCGUAGGCGGCCUGUUAAGUGUGAAGUGAAAGCCCACGGCUUACCCGUGGAACUGCUUUGCAUACUGGCAGGCUCGAGGACGGUAGGGGAGAGCGGAACUCUUGGUGGAGCGGUGAAAUGCGUAGAUAUCAAGGGGAACACCGAUGGCGAAGGCAGCUCUCUGGUCCGUUUCUGACGCUGAGGUGCGAAAGCUAGGGUAGCGAACGGG
rnacentral:rRNA from 1 species